rnacentral:lncRNA from 1 species
UGAAGAGCUUGCUUAGAAGACUAGUUUGAGAUGUUAAAAUGUAAAUUUCCCCCACUUUAAAAGCCGGUAUAAAAUACUACAUCAAGUUCAUCACCUGAAAAUGAAUUAAUAACAAAAGAAUAAAAUAUGAAACUUAUGAUCCAUUAUAAAUGACAAAGAAUGUACAAGAACGUUGCACAAACUUCUACAAAAUCACUGUCAAAUCGGCAUUCCCCGUUCGUUCAUGCUCCAAUUUAUCAAUUAAUGAAAAAAUUGCAUAAAGACAGAUUAAAUUACAGCCUAUUGGAAAAAAUUGUUCAUAUUAAUAAUCCUCACUUCAAAUUUUGAAUGCCGAAGUACGGCUGAAUUUAUCUUCAAAAGUUGUGGGGUCAAAUUUAUGCCAAAAAAAUAGCUUCAAAAGAGUAAAUAAUAAGUAAAAAUAUUAAAUUUGUUGAAUUCGGUAAUUCAUGGCCUCCAAAUAAAUAAAUGAUAGUCCUAGAUCUUUAUACGUACAAUGACAUGAAGAUUUUAAUCUGACACUUGAUAUUUACAAUGACAUUAAAAAUUGAACUUUGAAGUAUUAAGUAUCCAUGAAUCUAACUAUGCAGGGAGGUAAACAUUAGGAUGAAAAGUUUAAUUAAGCUCAAGAAUGACAUCUUCCAUAUCAUUGCGGUCAUUGUACAAGUAGUCAUUGUUAGCACUUUAGAGUGUAUAUAUUUUGGAAUACAAAAAAGAUAUCAAAAUAUUUAAAGCAACCUUACUAUGUCCAAAAGAUUAAUAGAUUAUUUAGUUUAGUGCUAAGUAAGAUGAAGGGCAAAGGACAUCCUUAUGGUUAUUGAGCAAAGAUGAAGAAGGAUACAUAUUUGUGCCCAUCCUGAGUCGUCUUCCUGUUUCCUUAGCAACUGUCAAUUGAGCACCUGCAAAGAUUCACAAUAAUGAAUUACUAACAUAGUUGAAAGACAAGGCAUUCAUGCUAAUAUUCUUUAAAGAAAAGGACAGCACACUACGGUAUGUAACAAAUUUGCUUUCUACCUAAAAACCUCUGAUAGCAGCCUUCUUUGUUCUUUUGAAGAGUGUGCUUAGAAGACUAGUUCGAGAUGUUAAAAUGUAAAUUUUUCCCAACUUUAAAAGACUGGGUAUAAAAAACUACAUCAAGUUAUCCGCCUAGAAAUGAAUUAAUAACAAAAGAAUAAAAUAUGAAACUUAUGAUCCAUUAUAAAUGACAAAGGAUGUACAAUAACAUUGCACAAACUUCUACAAAAUGACUGUCAAUUCGGCAUUCCCCGUUCCUUCAUGCUCCAAUUUAUCAAUUAAUGAAAAAAUUAUGUAAAGAUAGAUUAAAUUACAGCCUAUUCAAAAAGGGAAAAAAUUGUUCAUAUUAAUGCACUUCGAAUUUUGAAGGCCUAAGUACGGCUGAAUUUAUCUUCAAAAGUUGUGGGGUCAAAUUUAUUGCCAAAAAAAUAGCUUCAAAAGAGUAAAUAAUAAGUAAAAAUAUUAAAUUUGUUGAAUUCGGCAAUUCAUGGUCUCCAAAUAAACAAAUGACAGUCCUAGAUCUUUAUAUGUACAAUAAUAAGUAAAAAUAUUAAAUUUGUUGAAUUUCGCAAUUCAUGGUCUCCAAAUAAAUAAAUGACAGUCCUAGAUCUUUAUAUGUACAAUGACAUGAAGAUUUUAAUCUGACACUUGAUAUUUACAAUGACAUCAAAAACUGAAAUUUGAAGUCUUAAUUAUCCAUGAAUCUAAUUAUGCAUGGUGGAGGUAAACAUUAGGAUGAAAAGUUUAAUUAAGCUCUAGAAUGACAUCUUCCAUUUCAUUGUGAUCAUUAUACAAGUAGUCAUUGUUAGCACUUUAGAGCAUAUAUAUUUUGGAAUGCCAAAAGGAUAUCAAAAUAUUUAAAGCAACCUUACUAUGUCCAAAACAUUAAUAAAUUAUUUAGUUUAGUGCUAAGUAAAACGAAGGGCAAAGAUCAUCAAGGUUAUUGAGCAAAGAUGAAGAAGGGUGCAUAUUUGUGCCCAUCCCGAGUCAUAUUCCU